UACAGAGGGGGCAAGCGUUGUUCGGAAUUACUGGGCGUAAAGGGCGCGUAGGCGGCCCGCUAAGUCGAACGUGAAAUCCCCGGGCUUAACCUGGGAACUGCGUCGGAUACUGGAUGGCUUGAAUUCGGGAGAGGGAUGCAGAAUUCCAGGUGUAGCGGUGAAAUGCGUAGAUAUCUGGAGGAAUACCGGUGGCGAAGGCGGCAUCCUGGACCGACAUUGACGCUGAACGGCGAAAGCUAGGGGAGCAAACGGG
rnacentral:rRNA from 1 species